rnacentral:rRNA from 1 species
UAGGGAAUAUUGGACAAUGGGUGCGAGCCUGAUCCAGCCAUGCCGCGUGCAGGAAGACGGCCUUCUGGGUUGUAAACUGCUUUUGCCAGGGGAUAAAAAGUCCCUGCGGGGAAAAUUGAAGGUACCUGGUGAAUAAGCCACGGCUAACUACGUGCCAGCAGCCGCGGUAAUACGUAGGUGGCAAGCGUUGUCCGGAUUUAUUGGGUUUAAAGGGUGCGUAGGCGGUCCAUUAAGUCAGUGGUGAAAUACGGCAGCUUAACUGUCGAGGUGCCAUUGAUACUGGAGGACUUGAGUACAGACGAGGUAGGCGGAAUUGACGGUGUAGCGGUGAAAUGCUUAGAUAUCGUCAAGAACACCGAUAGCGAAGGCAGCUUACUAGACUGUAACUGACGCUGAGGCACGAAAGUGUGGGGAUCAAACAGG